AGGAUUACAGUAACUACCUGGUGAGCCAACCUGGAUCAAUUACAGUAAUUUAAUCUUAUCUUUACUGCUGUCUCCUGUGACAAGUGUGUCACAUCCAACAACAUAGCCACUUUGGACAGCCUGAACUGAUACAGGUCCUCUGGAGAGAACAAAGGUACAAACCAAUAUACACCAACCACAGACAGAGUCAUGAUGUUUUCUUCCAGAUUUGGUUAUUGAGGUAAUAAAUGAGAUGGUGAAAGAGGAAUUUUAAUGUGUUAUCACCCCAUGGAGGGCAAUAAGAGUGCCUCCGAUUCUGCCUGUGCCAGCCGAUUCCUCCCCGCAAUGGUUUGCCUGGCAAAAUCUGCUCUGACACAGCCACAAGGGAUCAAAAGGUCAAAGAUGGUUAAGCAAAUCAAAGACAGAAGGAGCACAGCAAGGAAGCUGCAGAGAGUAAAGUUGUGAGUGUUCAUGCCUCACCUUCCCAGCGUUUGCACAUGCUGCUUUCUCUUCCAAAGAUGGGAUCCAUUCUUCAUAAAAAGAGCAGCUGCAAGAAUCACAAUG